AUAGCCCGAGGCGUCACGCCGCCGCUCGGACCGAGGCCCGCGCUCCGGCAAGGAUGCUGGCGUAAUGGUCGUCAGCGACCCGUCUUGAAACACGGACCAAGGAGUCUAACAUCCACGCGAGUGUUUGGGUGUCAAACCCCGACGCGCAAUGAAAGUGAACGGAGGUGGGAGCCUGUAGGGGUGCACCAUCGACCGAUCCUGAAGUCUUCGGAUGGAUUUGAGUAUGAGCGUGGCUGUUGGGACCCGAAAGAUGGUGAUCUAUGCCUGAAUAGGGUGAAGCCAGAGGAAACUCUGGUGGAGGCUCGCAGCGGUUCUGACGUGCAAAUCGAUCGUCAAAUUUGGGUAUAGGGGCGAAAGACUAAUCGAACCAUCGCCGCUAGGUGGUCGAGAGACGGAAGCGCUGAGUUGGCCACGCCGUCUAGUCCUCCCUCGGGGGAGGGCGACACUGUCAAAGUGCGGGGACACCCUUAGAGCUCGGACCACCGCAGCCUGGCCGAAAGGUGGGCGCGCACCGGGGCACUCAGCCCGGGGAGGGUCACAGCGUCCGAGAUUGGGCGAUCCGCAGCCAAGUCCCACGGGCUUCUCAAGCGCCGGGAUCGGGUUCACAGACUAGAUGGCAGUGGGUGUGUGCCUCAAAAGGGCCGCGCCUAAGGUAUAGUCGGACCGCCGGGAGACCGGUCGAGGCAAUCCGCGGCUCACCUUUGGGUGCGCCUUGGGUGGUCCUCGAGGGUGCGGUGUGCACGGUC
rnacentral:rRNA from 1 species